rnacentral:tRNA from 1 species
UGACCAAUAGCUCAGUUGGUAGAGCAAACGGCUGUUAACCGUUGGGUCGUAGGUUCAAGUCCUACUUAGUCAG